UAAACGGCGGCGCGAAGAUAUGACUUUUAUCAUCGAGUGGUGAUAUCGCGUUUUUAACGCGAGAGGAUAAAAAUCAUAUCUUCAAGCCACCGUGUAAUGUUCUGUUUAUUAUAUAGUCCCAAGCAAAAAAUUGUGAAAUUUCACGCUCAAAAGCACAUGGAAAAAGUCACGUGAUCGAUAUCUUCACUAGUGAAGAUAUAGAAAAUAUAUAUAUCUCACUGUGUAUUUUUCAGGAUCUCACUCU